rnacentral:rRNA from 1 species
GUUUACGGCCAUACCAGCCUGGGUACGCCUGAUCUCGUCUGAUCUCGGAAGCUAAGCAGGGUCGGGCCUGGUUAGUACUUUGAUGGGAGACCGCCUGGGAAUACCAGGUGCUGUAGGCU